rfam:Myotis davidii contig190563, whole genome shotgun sequence.
AGAGGCCCUCCGUGGCCAGGGCGGGACGCUUGCCUCAUCACUGCAGUGACGAAGCAAGCAUUCCGUCAGGCCACUCAUGCUGCCCGC